GGUAAGCCUAAACUAGGAAGAAAAAACAAAGCCCUAAUUUACUCCAACUCUCAGUUUCACGCAACUCCAAAUUCUCUGCACUCGAAGUCUCGAACAACAAAGUCCUUCCCUUUCAGCAACUCCAAAUUCUCUGCACUCGAACAAGAUCCAGUUUCACGUUUCGAAAUUUGAAGACUCCAAUUCCUUUCAGCAAGAUCCAGUUUACUUAAAUUUUUGCUGGGCAAGACUCCACCGUAUUUCGCUCAACAAGCUGCUAAUAAAGCUCCAUCUUCUGGAAAUGACAACUCUCAUUAAUUAUCUAAUUAGCUAGUUGGAUUUUUGUCGAAAGAUUAAUUUUGGAUGCACCAAAACGAAAAAGUGAAUGUCGAAGAUUUGAGGACAUUGGAACAUCUAUUUGGGCACAAGACUCAAGAUAUAUUAAGUUUUGUUAUUAUUUAGUUGGAUUAUAAAUUUUAACAUUUGUUGUUCUACAUACAUUAGGUUGUACCUUGAGUUUGUCUAAAUGAGUUAGACACUUUGGUUAUUUUUAGUUUGAAGAUUGCUUAUAUAGAGUAUUAAACGAUUUAAUUUUUUCAUUAAUCAAUAUAUUAUAUUUUGGUUCA